rnacentral:tRNA from 1 species
GCCUUUGUGAUGUAGUGGUCAGCACGCUCGACGCGUAACCGAGAGGUCCGUGGUUCGAUUCCCGGCGAAGGCG